CCUACGGGAGGCAGCAGUGGGGAAUUUUGGACAAUGGGCGAAAGCCUGAUCCAGCAAUGCCGCGUGAGUGAAGAAGGCCUUCGGGUUGUAAAGCUCUUUUGUCAGGGAAGAAACGGUGAAAGCUAAUAUCUUUUGCUAAUGACGGUACCUGAAGAAUAAGCACCGGCUAACUACGUGCCAGCAGCCGCGGUAAUACGUAGGGUGCAAGCGUUAAUCGGAAUUACUGGGCGUAAAGCGUGCGCAGGCGGUUUUGUAAGUCUGAUGUGAAAUCCCCGGGCUCAACCUGGGAAUUGCAUUGGAGACUGCAAGGCUAGAAUCUGGCAGAGGGGGGUAGAAUUCCACGUGUAGCAGUGAAAUGCGUAGAUAUGUGGAGGAACACCGAUGGCGAAGGCAGCCCCCUGGGUCAAGAUUGACGCUCAUGCACGAAAGCGUGGGGAGCAAACAGGAUUAGAUACCCUGGUAGUCCACGCCCUAAACGAUGUCUACUAGUUGUCGGGUCUUAAUUGACUUGGUAACGCAGCGUACGCGUGAAGUAGACCGCCGCGGGUAAGGUACGGUCGCGAGUAAGUUAAACGUUAACGAAGAAGUUAGACGGCGUUGAGAGNGCGACGGACGACGACGAGGGAGGAGG
rnacentral:rRNA from 1 species